rnacentral:rRNA from 1 species
CACUAUGCUCAGCCAUAAACUUUGAUAGGCCAUUACACCCCCUAUCCGCCCGGGAACUACGAGCACUAGCUUAAAACCCAAAGGACUUGGCGGUGCUUCAGACCCACCUAGAGGAGCCUGUUCUACAACCGAUAUCCCCCGUUGAACCUCACCCUCUCUUUGUUCUUUUCCGUCUAUAUACCGCCGUCGUCAGCUUACCCUGUGAAGGGCUAAUAGUAAGCAAAAUUGGCAAAGCCCAAAACGCCAGGUCGAGGUGUAGUGAAUGAGAGGGCAAGAAAUGGGCUACAUUUCCUGGACCAGGAGACACGAACAAUUCUUUGUGCUGAAAAACACAUUUGAAGGAGGAUUUAGCAGUAAGCGAAAAUUAGAGCGUUUCGCUGAAAUUGGCCCUGAAGCGCGCACACACCGCCCGUCACUCUCCCCAGCAAUAUUCAUGAACCCAUACUUAAACUUUAAUACCAAACAUAGGGGAGGCAAGUCGUAA